rnacentral:rRNA from 1 species
GCGCGAAAACUUUACAAUGCUGGCAACAGCGAUAAGGGAACCUCGAGUGCCAGGUUACAAAUCUGGCUGUCGAGAUGCCUAAGAAGCAUUUCAUAGCAAGGGCCGGGCAAGACCGGUGCCAGCCGCCGCGGUAACACCGGUGGCUCGAGUGGUAACCGUUAUUAUUGGGUCUAAAGGGUCUGUAGCCGGCCGGAUAAGUCUCUUGAGAAAUCUGGCAGCUUAACUGUCAGGCUUUCAGGAGAUACUGUCUGGCUCGAGGCCGGGAGAGGUGAGAGGUACUUCAGGGGUAGGGGUGAAAUCUUGUAAUCCUUGAAGGACCACCAGUGGCGAAGGCGUCUCACCAGAACGGACCUGACGGCAAGGGACGAAAGCUAGGGGCACGAACCG